GGCUGACCUUGAACUCAUGGUGAUCCUCCUGCCUCAGCCUCCGGAGUAUAACUUUAGCGUUUUGUCAAGCAUGUUGGUGCUCAUCUGAAAUCCCAGUGAUCAGAAGGCUCCUCUUCAUCCCCCGAGGGUCCUUCUGUGGGGCGCAAGGCAAGGCUGGGGCUCUGGAUGGAUUCGCCAGCCUGGAUCUUCUGCUCACAGCCUGGAUGAGAAGGAGGUGACACAGGUCAACUCCGCGACCCUCCCGUGAUCCCUGGUCAGGCAGGCAGGCCACACCCGCCAAAGGAAGGGGCUCACAGGGUGCAGCCACAGCUCCAGGGAGCCAGGUCUUUGCCCCUUUUACAGAAGGGAGCACUAGGCCCAGGUCCAGGAGAUGAUGGCCUUGGAGAGGAGCCCUGGCCUCUGCCACCACCUGGGAAAGGCUGACAGUGUGAUCCCUGGAGGACGGAAGCUCCGGGCUCACCUUGGUCCCCAGAUGGUGAUGUCAGACCAUAAUGAAAGGACAGAAAACAUCCUCCCCAGGGUCUCACUAUGCAAUUCAGGCUGGCCUCCA